UACGGAGGGGGCGAGCGUUAUUCGGAAUUAUUGGGCGUAAAGGGCGCGUAGGCGGCUUGACAAGUCAAAGGUGAAAUCCCUCGGCUCAACUGAGGAACUGCCUUUGAAACUGUCUGGCUUGAGGCCGGGAGGGGGUAGCGGAAUUCCCAGUGUAGCGGUGAAAUGCGUAGAUAUUGGGAGGAACACCCGUGGCGAAGGCGGCUACCUGGACCGGCUCUGACGCUGAUGCGCGAAAGCGUGGGUAGCAAACAGG
rnacentral:rRNA from 1 species